rnacentral:rRNA from 1 species
UACGGGGGGGGGCAAGCGUUGUUCGGAAUUACUGGGCGUAAAGGGCUCGUAGGCGGCCAACUAAGUCGGACGUGAAAUCCCUCGGCUUAACCGGGGAACUGCGUCCGAUACUGGAUGGCUUGAGUUCGGGAGAGGGAUGCGGAAUUCCAGGUGUAGCGGUGAAAUGCGUAGAUAUCUGGAGGAACACCGGUGGCGAAGGCGGCAUCCUGGACCGACACUGACGCUGAGGAGCGAAAGCGUGGGGAGCGAACGAGG